GACGAACGCUGGCGGCGUGCUUAACACAUGCACGUCGAGCGGAGCGGCGAACGGGUGCGUAACGCGUGAGUAACUGCCCCCCUCUCUGGGAUAACAGUUGGAAACGGCUGCUAAUCUCGGAUAGUGGGGGCUGACUCGCGUCCUAUCAGCUUGUUGGUGGGGUAGUGGCCUACCAAGGCGGCGACGGGUCGCCGGCCUGGGAGGGGGAACGGCCACAAUGCGCUGCGGUACGGCCCAAAGUCGUACAGGGGGCAACAGUGGGGAGUAUUGCGCAAUGAGGGCAAGCCUGAUGAAGAGGCGCGGGUGCGGGAUGCAGGCCUUCGGGUUGGAAACGGCUUAAAGCCAUGACGCGGUACUGGCAGAAGAAGCACCGGCUAACUACGUGCCAGCAGCCGCGGUAAUAC
rnacentral:rRNA from 1 species